UUGAUUAUGACGUACUUGUACUGAUUGAGAUUUUAACACGAAGUGAGUGGCGAACGGGUGAGUAACACGUGGGUAACCUGCCCAGAAGUAGGGGAUAACACCUGGAAACAGAUGCUAAUACCGUAUAACAGAGAAAACCGCAUGGUUUUCUUUUAAAAGAUGGCUCUGCUAUCACUUCUGGAUGGACCCGCGGCGUAUUAGCUAGUUGGUGAGGUAAAGGCUCACCAAGGCAGUGAUACGUAGCCGACCUGAGAGGGUAAUCGGCCACAUUGGGACUGAGACACGGCCCAGACUCCUACGGGAGGCAGCAGUAGGGAAUCUUCCACAAUGGACGCAAGUCUGAUGGAGCA
rnacentral:rRNA from 1 species